GUGGUUAGAGAUGAAAAAUUACUUAAUGGGCACAAUGCACAUUAUUCUGGUGAUGGUUACACUAAAUAUCCAGAUGUCACCCAUAUGCAAUAUAUCCAUGUAACAAAACUGCAUUUGUACCCCUUAAAUUGAUAUUUAAAAGUCUGUUUAUAUUGAGAAUUACCAUUCAUGACCACUGGAGAUACUCUCCCAUAGUCUUCUGUGGUGUGUUGUUGCUCAGGAGAAGUCAGCUGUAAAUCUAUUUAUUAAUAUUUAAAUUGGUCAGGCUGAUCUCGAACUCCUGACCUCAGGUGAUCUGCCCUUCUCAGCCUCCCAAGGUUCUGGGAUUAUAGGUGUGAGCCACCGUGUCCAGCCUCUUCAUCAAUUUUUAAUCUUAAUUGUAAUGUUUGUAAACACAUUUAGAUUAUUAUUUAUUGAUGUGGAAUAUAAAUUAUUCUUUAAUAUUCUGAAUUUCCCAACAUUGUUCAAUUUUUCACACUAUACAUUUUUUUAAAUUUGCGGCGUGCUUAUCUGGAGUGUGUGAUUAUGCAUUGGUGGGGGUAGAGGCUGCAGUAUUUUGAAGAAGUCCUAUAUGUAUGUGUUGUAAGCGGAUCUUAUUAAACACCACCAAGGCAAUACUUCUAAAAGUCUGCAAGCUUUACAGCAUUAUUGGGUUUGGG
rnacentral:lncRNA from 1 species